CACCCGUAUCAGAAUCUCUUCCAAGUUCCAUAUUUUCUCCUCGCACCAGCCCAUGGAUACUGGAAGAAUCACAAACUUCACAUUAGAAGAUGCCAAAUGCGCCAGCACAUGUUCUCCAGUCUAUUAUUGCGGUCACGUGUAUUCCUAGUUGCAAUCACCUUGAUUUAACAGGAAGGAUACAGUUUAGCUUACUGGAUUGGGAAGUCUUAUCAUUUAUCCAAGGCAGCUUAGAAAUAUGGAAGCUAAGCAAAAGGACUUUCGAUUCAUCAGGUACAAGUCUCAACCAUCGAUCUUGCGUGAUUAAAUUCCUACCUAUUCUAGCAUGCAAUACUUGGAUAAUUUUUUUAUUUCCUAAGCGGUAGUUUGCAAUUAACUGUGAGAGCUAAUAAAAAGGUUACAGUCAUAAUAUUCCCCCAUCAAAAAGUGGCCAAAAAGAGGUAAGUAAGAGUGGGGGCGCUGACGUUUCCUUGCUUUUAGAUUAGAAAGGAAUAUAUACCCUUAUGUGUCACGCUGUCUAUUUUUGUUUCUUUUUAUUAACAGUUAGUAAUUUGAACUUCUUUUCGAUAUAACUUAAAUAAAAAUAACAAAAAAGUAAUCAGAACUUAUGAACCAAAAAAUGUUGAGGAAUACAGUAGUGCAUGUAAGUAUAGUAAUAAUUUAAAUCAUGCAUGCUGCUAAUUGAAAUAACAAGAGAUAUAUGCAGAGAAGAAAGGGAGGGGGAGAGAGAGAGGUAAUUAAUUAAUGUGUA